UGCGUAGGCGGGCGCGUAAGUGUUCUGUGAAAUCCCCGGGCUCAACCCGGGAACCGCAGGGCAUACUGCGCGUCUCGAGGAAACUAGAGGCCGGUGGAACGAUCGGUGGAGCGGUGGAAUGCGUAGAGAUCGAUCGGAACGCCAAGGGUGAAGACGGCCGGCUGGGGUUUUCCUGACGCUGAGGCACGAAAGCGCGGGGAUCAAACA
rnacentral:rRNA from 1 species